CAUUAAAGAAUACCAGGCCUCACAGCCCUAUUCUCACCCUGUGUAUUUGAAACUUCGUUGCUUUGGCAGGCCCCUGGCUUCGGCUGGACAGCGCCUGCCAGAGGAUCUAAACCCUUGAAUCUCUGCUGUCUGAGUACUAUACAAUAGUUAAAACUUUCAACAACGGAUCUCUUGGUUCUGGCAUCGAUGAAGAACGCAGCGAAAUGCGAUAAGUAAUGUGAAUUGCAGAAUUCAGUGAAUCAUCGAAUCUUUGAACGCACAUUGCGCCCUCUGGUAUUCCGGGGGGCAUGCCUGUUCGAGCGUCAUUACAACCCUCACGCUCUGCGUGGUGUUGGGCUCGCCCUGUAAGGGCCUGCCUCAAAAUCAGUGGCGGCCGCUGUUCGACCCCUAAGCGUAGUAAUUAUUCGUCGCUUCUGGGCUAGAGCAAGCCUGCUAGGAACCCCC
rnacentral:rRNA from 1 species